UAGCUCAGUUGGUAGAGCAGUUGACUUUUAAUCAAUUGGUCGCAGGUUCGAAUCCUGCACGACCCACCAAUCGUUCGGUGGAAACGAGAAUAAAGCGUGAAGGAUAACGUUGCGUCAGCAACGGCCCGUAGGGCGAGGCAAAGCCGAGUCAUCCUGCACAACCCACCA
rnacentral:sRNA from 1 species